UAAAGCGCGCGUAGGUGGUCUGUUAAGUCGGAUGUGAAAGCCCCGGGCUCAACCUGGGAACUGCAUUCGAUACUGGCAGACUAGAGUGCGAAGAGAGGGAGGUAGAAUUCCACGUGUAGCGGUGAAAUGCGUAGAUAGUCGGGAAGAACACCAGUGGCGAAGGCGCUCUGCUGGGCCAUCACUGACGCUCAUGGACGAAAGCUAGGGGAGCAAACAGGAUUAGAUACCCUGGUAGUCCUAGCCGUAAACGGUGCACACUUGCUGUAGGAGGAUUCGACCCCUUCUGUGGCGGAGCAAACGCGUUAAGUGUGCCGCCUGGGGAGUACGCACGCAAGUGUGAAACUCAAAGGAAUUGACGGGGGCCCGCACAAGCGGUGGAGUAUGUGGUUUAAUUCGAUGCAACGCGAAGAACCUUACCAGGGUUUGACAUCCUGAGAACCUCUUAGUAAAUUUGAGGGUGCCUUCGGGAAUUCAGUGACAGGUGGUGCAUGGCU
rnacentral:rRNA from 1 species